rnacentral:tmRNA from 1 species
GGGGGCGACAGGUCUCGACGGGCUCGGAAGUGGUUCCGCGGUUGCAUGCCGAGGUCCGCAGCCUCGUAAAACAUGCGGAACACACAACUGCCGCGUAAUACGGCAACCGCCGCUCCCUAGAAUCGGAGCGGCCGCUCUCCUCGGCCCGGCCUUCCGGUCGGGGGUAGAGCGUCAGAAGGAAGGCUGGUCGGAAAGCCCAGCUGUCAGGUGUACCGGCGAGAUUUAAAGGCAGCUACUCCGGGCACGGCCGGUCGGAGUCAAAGCCUGGAGGAAAUGCAGCUCCGACCUAAGCAUGUAGGAGCUGCGGAGUCCCCGAGUCCGGACGCGGGUUCGAUUCCCGCCGCCUCCACCA